rnacentral:rRNA from 1 species
UGUACCCGCGGCAAGACGGAAAGACCCCGUGAACCUUUACUAUAGCUUGACACUGAACAUUGAGCCUUGAUGUGUAGGAUAGGUGGGAGGCUUUGAAGCGUGGACGCCAGUCUGCGUGGAGCCAACCUUGAAAUACCACCCUUUAAUGUUUGAUGUUCUAACGUUGGCCCCUGACCGGGGUUGCGGACAGUGUCUGGUGGGUAGUUUGACUGGGGCGGUCUCCUCCCAAAGCGUAACGGAGGAGCACGAA